rnacentral:rRNA from 1 species
CCUACGGGGGGCAGCAGUAGGGAAUAUUGCGCAAUGGGGGAAACCCUGAAGCAGCAACGCCGCGUGGAGGAUGAAGGUGUUCGGAUUGUAAACGCCUUUUGGUAGAGAAGAGAAGGACGGUAGCUAACGAAUAAGCACCGGCUAACUCCGUGCCAGCAGCCGCGGGAAUACGGAGGGUGCAAGCGUGACGCGGAAUCACUGGGCGUAAAGAGCGCGGAGGCGGGAUAGCAAGUCAGAUGUGAAAUCCUAUGGCUUAACCAUAGAACUGCAUUUGAAACUGUUAUUCUAGAGUAUGGGAGAGGUAGGUGGCAUUCUUGGUGUAGUGGUCAUCUCCG